GUUAACAUAUCAAAUUCUUUAUUUAAAAUAUAAAUAAAUCAAGCUGGGAAUCAUCGUCAUAUGGUAAACAAAGAGAGAGCCGAAUCGUUGAGAAUGGAAGUAAAUAUCGAAAACAUCAGAGUAAUAUAAACAAAUAAGACAGAGCAGAAAGAGGUCAGUAGAGAGAAAAAAGUUAGUCAGCAGAAGAGAGGAGUUCUAUUUUUGAUAGUGAACAAACAACAAUAACCAAAAUGUAAAUCUUAAUGACGGGAAAAGCAACUCAUCCUGUCAGGGUGCUGAUGGAUGAUGGCAAUGAGCAUGGAAGAUAGCAAUGAAAUGAACAGACAUUUGUGAACAUUCGAACAAUAAACAUUUGUGGACAGUUAUUAGACUAGUGUUCAAAUAAUUGAUGUAACACUGGUACUUCUGGUUCCAGUCUCUCAGGUAUGCUCAUGGAACUCUCACACAAUCUCUCAAAUCAUUGUAUUGUAUAGUUUAGGUUUAAGUAGAUUUUGGUAUAAUUCCUUGUAAAUUCCAUGUUUAUUAUUGUUAUCUACUAUUAAUUGCUGUAAAUAAGACUUUAGCUUGUAAUUAUGUUUAAGUCAAUCGUUCAUUCCUGGAUACCUGUGCCACUUGCUCACCCAUCUAUAUUCAAUUUGCGACUUAGCCUAGUUCAAAUUCAUUCAAAUUCAGUACACAACUGCAAAACCACUUGGUCUAGCUCAAAUAUCCCAUGCUGGAGCAACAGAUUUAAACUGGUCCUGGUGUCAGAACCUGAUGACAACAGAACAGCCUCCCGUGACCCUUACAUAGUAAUAGAUGAUAAAAACCUAUUUAAAAUAUAAAAAAAUUGUUAAAUGUAUAGAUGAUUAUUAUUUUAAUUUCAUAUCAUAAAAC
rnacentral:lncRNA from 1 species